ACAUCGUCACCGAAGCCCUGAACAAGUUCAAGACCGGCCGAGCCCUUUGUGCUGCCCCUCCCCAGGAAAUCCGAGAGGGCUCCCCAGGUCACAGGACUCUGAAAGCAUCUUUCAACUCCAAAAGGAAGGCCUCUGAUGAUGUGGCCGGGGCUGCUGAACUUUCAGCCAAGAAGAGGAGGUCAUCCUUGGAUCCAGCAAACACGGAUCUCUUUGGGCAUGCUGUGCCCCUGUUUGAUCGACCAGUGGAUGUGGGUCCCUCGCAAGAUCCUACAAGCCCUGCUCCCGUUUCUCCCAGAGGACCUUCCAGUCCGUUCUCCGAUCUAGGGCGCCUCCCCGGAGACCCAUGGACCCCGACUGUGAAAACUCAGAGGAGAAGGAGCAGCGGCAGAAAACGCCCCCAAAGGAAGCAUUCCGCUCUGACUCCCCCCUGCCGCUCGCCAGGGCCUUUUGAGCGGAAGGACACAGGGCGCAAGUCCUUGCGCAUCUUCUCCCGCAGCAGCAAGGAUCAG